ACCGAAAGCUUCAUGUGGAUGAUCCACGGAGGUCAGGUAUAUUAUGUGAUUGCAUUGCGAUGAUCAGACCUUUCCGACAGUGAUCAGACUACGGUGAUCGAAUACCUGCACGAAGAUAAUGUGUUCUGAACACAUAAUAGUAAAAUAUUUACUGUAGAAUUUUAAAUUUUAAAUUUAAAUGCAUGCUACAUAUAUCAUAUUUAGAUCCUUGUGUAGGGUUAAUACA
rnacentral:lncRNA from 1 species